rnacentral:rRNA from 1 species
CCUACGGGAGGCAGCAGUGGGGAAUAUUGCGCAAUGGGCGCAAGCCUGACGCAGCGACGCCGCGUGAGGGAUGAAGGUCUUCGGAUCGUAAAACUCUGUCAGUAGGGAAGAACGGUCACUGUGCUAAUCAGCAGUGAAUUGACGGUACCUGCAAAGGAAGCACCGGCUAACUCCGUGCCAGCAGCCGCGGUAAUACGGAGGGUGCGAGCGUUAAUCGGAAUUACUGGGCGUAAAGCGCUCGUAGGCGGUAUGUCAAGUCAAGGGUGAACUCCCCGCGCUCAACGUGGGAACUGCCUUGGAAACUGGGAAACUGGAGUGUGUGAGAGGAAAGUGGAAUGCCGGGUGUAGGGGUGAAAUCCGUAGAUAUCUGGAGGAACAUCAGUGGCGAAGGCGGCUAUCUGGCACAUAACUGACGCUGAGGAGCGAAAGCGUGGGGAGCAAACAGGAUUAGAUACCCGGGUAGUC